rnacentral:rRNA from 1 species
UACGUAGGGUGCGAGCGUUGUCCGGAAUUAUUGGGCGUAAAGAGCUUGUAGGCGGUCUGUCGCGUCUGCUGUGAAAAUCCGGGGCUCAACCCCGGACUUGCAGUGGGUACGGGCAGACUAGAGUGUGGUAGGGGAGACUGGAAUUCCUGGUGUAGCGGUGAAAUGCGCAGAUAUCAGGAGGAACACCGGUGGCGAAGGCGGGUCUCUGGGCCGAUACUGACGUGGAG